rnacentral:rRNA from 1 species
AUUGAACGCUGGCGGCAUGCUUUACACAUGCAGGUCGAACGGUAACAGGGUGCUUGCACCGCUGACGAGUGGCGAACGGGUGAGUAAUGCGUCGGAACGUGCCGAGUAGUGGGGGAUAACGCAGCGAAAGUUGUGCUAAUACCGCAUACGUACUGAGGUAGAAAGUGGGGGACCUUCGGGCCUCACGCUAUUCGAGCGGCCGACGUCUGAUUAGCUAGUAGGUGAGGUAAAGGCUCACCUAGGCGACGAUCAGUAGCGGGUCUGAGAGGAUGAUCCGCCACACUGGGACUGAGACACGGCCCAGACACCUACUGGAGGCAGCAGUGGGGAAUUUUGGACAAUGGGCGAAAGCCUGAUCCAGCCAUGCCGCGUGUCUGAAGAAGGCCUUCGGGUUGUAAAGGACUUUUGUCAGGGAGGAAAUCCCUAGUGCUAAUAACACUGGGGGAUGACAGUACCUGAAGAAUAAGCACCGGCUAACUACGUGCCAGCAGCCGCAGUAA